UACGAGCGGCCCAAACGUUAUUCGGAUUUACUGGGCUUAAAGAGUUCGUAGGCGGCGCAGAAAGUAGGGUGUGAAAGCCCUCGGCUCAACCGAGGAAUUGCGCCCUAAACUACUGUGCUUGAGGGACCUAGAGGUGAGCAGAACAGAUGGUGGAGCGGUGAAAUGCGUUGAUAUCAUCUGGAAUACCGGAGGCGAAGGCGGCUCACUGGGGGUCUUCUGACGCUGAGGAACGAAAGCGUGGGUAGCAAACAGG
rnacentral:rRNA from 1 species